rnacentral:rRNA from 1 species
GAUGAACGCUGGCGGCGUGCCUAAUACAUGCAAGUCGAGCGAACAGACGAGGAGCUUGCUCCUCUGACGUUAGCGGCGGACGGGUGAGUAACACGUGGAUAACCUACCUAUAAGACUGGGAUAACUUCGGGAAACCGGAGCUAAUACCGGAUAAUAUAUUGAACCGCAUGGUUCAAUAGUGAAAGACGGUUUUGCUGUCACUUAUAGAUGGAUCCGCGCCGCAUUAGCUAGUUGGUAAGGUAACGGCUUACCAAGGCAACGAUGCGUAGCCGACCUGAGAGGGUGAUCGGCCACACUGGAACUGAGCCACGGUCCAGACUCCUACGGGAGGCAGCAGUAGGGAAUCUUCCGCAAUGGGCGAAAGCCUGACGGAGCAACGCCGCGUGAGUGAUAAAGGUCUUCGGAUCGUAAAACUCUGUUAUUAGGGAAGAACAAAUGUGUAAGUAACUAUGCACGUCUUGACGGUACCUAAUCAGAAAGCCACGGCUAACUACGUG